UGCGUAGGUGGUGAGGUAAGUCGGAUGUGAAAUCUCCGAGCUCAACUCGGAAAUGGCAUUGGAAACUACCUUGCUCGAGGGUUGGAGGGGGGACUGGAAUGCUUGGUGUAGCAGUGAAAUGCGUAGAUAUCAAGCGGAACACCAGUGGCGAAGGCGAGUCCCUGGACAACUCCUGACACUGAGGCACGAAAGCUAGGGGAGCAAACA
rnacentral:rRNA from 1 species